rnacentral:rRNA from 1 species
AGGUGCGAUCAUACCAGCACUAAUGCACCGGAUCCCAUCAGAACUCCGCAGUUAAGCGUGCUUGGGCGAGAGUAGUACUAGGAUGGGUGACCACCUGGGAAGUCCUUGUAUUGCACCUCUCC